rnacentral:lncRNA from 1 species
GGUGAGAAGAAGUCACCAGAUUCAGUGCUACCAACCUCGUUUUUUUUUUUGGCUCCAUGCAAUAACGUGUGGAAGGCUUUCGCGCGGGAGGCUGAUAUUGCGUGAUUCUCUCUUCAAAAACGAUGAAUGAACGGAAGUAGCAAUUAAGGAUCAUUGAUGAUUUUGCCGCAAAGAUACAAAUUAAAGAACCGGUCCAUACGUUACAACGACCAAUCGUCAUUGAAGCAACGAAUGUUCCUUAAUGAAACAAAACAUAACUACGGUGUCAAUCCGCAACCACGUAUCUCGUUUGCGGUGUUUGAAAAUCUCCGUUCAUAUUUUAUCUUUUUAAUAAAGUAGAAAUCGACAUCAUUCCUUUAAGUUCCUGCGGGAUUUUCGUCGUAAAAGAAGAAAAAUCCCGGCAGUUUAUAAGAACUCCCGACAAGUAGUUUUCCAUUUGUAAAAUAAAGUACGACAGGAAGUCUGCGACGUCACACACAGAGAUACGUGGUUGCGGACUUACACCGCCGAUAAACUUUUCCCGGUUAUUUUCCUUCAAACGGCUAAGGAGGAGGGCUUUAAAGUGGUGACGUUUAAGAACACUUCACCAACGACUUGAGUGAUACAUCGUAAAUAGGAACAGACAAUGGACACUACUUCAUUUCACGCGGGAUCGCACAUCAGUGUACACGCGAUCUCGUAAUACCCAGAAAGCAUCUGCAUUUACGAGACAGUUUUUCUACGGCUCCUUAAGGUAAGUCAUUCUUUGUUCGUGUAACGGAUUGCAAUUAACAUUUUUUCUUUCAUCUUUUUGUACUUUAUUUAUACCGGAUUGCAAAUAACAUUUUGUCUUUCAUUUUUCUGGUGUGGUGUCUGAAAAUCUUCUGACAUUUCUUCAAGAAAACUAGCUGGCAUUUUCUUUGGAAGUUCUCAGCCAAAAGCUGGGGUUAGUUUGUGUUUUACUUCUCGCAUUUAUCCAAACUUUGACGAAACAGCCAUUUGAACUAGACACGUUUUAUCGCACACCUUGGCAGCCUUGAAGAACUCUUUCGCCUUCGAAAGUGCAAAAUACGUAUUUAGGUUGGGCGACAAUAGUAAGAAGGCAAAUUACUUCCUAGUUAUGCGGUUAUCAAAGCUGGAAAUAGUGCUGCCCUGCCAUCACUUUUUACUACGAGGCUUUCAUUGCACCGAGUCUACAAACAAGUGUCACAUCACAUCAAGUUGAAACUCAGAAAAAGAGGUUUGAAGUUAUUCCUCUAUAGGUAAGACUCGAUAAAGAAGGUAAACUUAAACUCCUCUUUUCGCAAACUAAUAUUUCAGUUUCGACUUUCAGUUUUUGCCAGGAGAAAAUAUAUAACUAGAGGAACUCAAAAACAUUCUAAACUCAAUUUUUCGAAAAGUGGGUUGGUUCCUUUCUGGUGAACUCUGACCAAUUCUACACUGAAAAAAAGUUCUGUUGUCACAAACCAGAAUUCUGGUUGUAUUUCGGAACCAGAUUUUCUGGUUGAGUUGACUCUACCAAAUUCUGGUUGAGUCAACUGUAAUUCUGGUUAAAUCAACCAGAAAAUCUGGUUCCGAAAUACAACCAGAAUUCUGGUUUGUGACAACAGAACUUUUUUUCAGUGUAGGUACGCUAUUAAGAUCAGCCUUUGGUUAACUUUUACUUUCCUUAGGGGGCUAGGAAAUUCGAAGGAUGUCAAUG